GGACCAUACAUUUGUAACGGAUUUUGCAACAGAGGAUAUUUCAUUGGCAUUUGCAGUUCCCAGAGAAUAUGGGAGAUUUAAUACCAAGCAUUUAAUCAACAUCUACUAUGUUCCUAACACUUACUUGGCACAACAGCUGAGCACAAAGUUAAGACGGCAGCAAAGGCAAAGACACUGAGCUGGGUGAGCUGUGAUGUCAUCCCUUAGGACUGAAGAUCACUAAGCCAACAAUCUAGCCCAGAUUAAAAGAAUUUUCCUGAGUGGCAAGAUGCACAUCUUGCAUCAAAUGGCAAUGAAUAUGGUCGUGCGCUUAGUGAAGCAAUAACAAUUAAACCUGUCAACUUUAACUGAGGCUGAGAAAACAAAAGACGUUCCAGUUUACAGUGGCCUCAUGCCAGGAGACUGCUGAGACCGGAGAAGAAUCAGACUGCAGACUGAAGAAUGCUAUCUUCUAAGAAGAAUGUGCUAAUGAAAAAUUUUCAGGAACAGCAGCCUUCUCAAGUUUUCUUCCAGAAUAUUAAUCAGCCAGGACCUCAAAGUAUUCCUGGUCAGUGAGUAUUCUCUGUCAGGUGCAGGGGACAGGAACACACAAAAUCUCCCCUGAGCCAAUUUAGAGGGAAUAAAAUCUGAUGUGAUA